UGGACAUCGAUCCUGUUGUGUGUUCCAUACCCAUUAUUUACAAUUUCCCUGAUGUCUUUCCCAUUGAACUCCCUGGUCUACCUCCCCAGCGUGAGGUAGAGUUCCUAAUUGAAUUACUAGCUGGAACCCAACCGAUAUCGAAGCUCGCAUAUAGCAUGAGUCACGUUGAGCUAAUAGAGCUGGAACAUCAACUUUUUGAUCUUAUC
rnacentral:lncRNA from 1 species